UACAGAGGGUGCAAGCGUUGUCCGGAAUCACUGGGUGUAAAGGGCGCGUAGGCGGCCUGGUAAGUAGGGGGUGAAAUUCUGCGGCUCAACCGCAGGACUGCCUUCUAAACUGUCAGGCUUGAGCACGGUAGAGGCUGGUGGAAUUCCCGGUGUAGCGGUGGAAUGCGUAGAGAUCGGGAAGAACAUCGGUGGCGAAGGCGGCCAGCUGGGCCGUUGCUGACGCUGAGGCGCGACAGCGUGGGGAGCAAACAGG
rnacentral:rRNA from 1 species